GCGAUAAAAAAAAUAUCGCCGUUAAUCUAUUCUCAAAGUUGGGUUGGGAGCUGGGUCUAUACUAAGCAAGCUAUGAUGACUUUCACCUUGAUAUUUUAUAUAACCGACUGGCAGAGCCGCGUAUCAUGGACAGCGACACUGAACCGAGCUCUCUUCUGCGAAGUUCUCCUCAAAGUCCCUACUGCACCUGAAUGAACAAAUACAAAUCGCAGUUUGAAACAAACAAAAAGAUGUGAAAGAGCCCAAUUCAGCACAGCGGUGUUCUGGUGUUCAGGGCUCACGCAGAGGAAGGCAUCUCGAGAUGCUAAAAAUAAGCAUUUUCAAGUGUUUUGAUCAAAUCAAUUGAACAUCGAAUUUGCUUAUUUUUGCUCUAGUGCCAACAAAUACAUACGAAAUAUGUCAAAAUAUCCACCUUGGAAAUUAUGCCCGAAAAAACUGUCAGUUAUUUCUUAAGUGAAAGUAAACAGUUGAGGAAAAAAAUGGGGUGUGUAUUAUAUUGGAUGCGUUCAUCGUCUCUUAAAGUGACCGUGCCUAAUUUAGCUACUGGCUGCUGUAAUGUUAAUCCAAGAAAAUGAAAAUGAAAAUCACUCACUGCUCUUGACUACUUUGUAGUUUUAACAGUCAAACCAAAAAUUAUUCAGACACCAGAUAUAAUUUUUGAUAUAUAUAGCAAAACUGUAAUAAUGUGAGAAAUGUUGAAGGUGUCUGAAUAAAUGUAGGUUUCAUUGUAUAUUUCAUUUUUACAUUGAAGACUAUCCAGUGCUUUUUUACAUUUAAUUAUUUAGUUUCUGUACCUUGACACCUAAAAACUUAAA